AGCGGCCGAGCACCUGCGCCGGGCUCUGCCAUAUCUGGAUAGCCCGCAGGAGCCCCUGCGAGAGGCGGCCGUCAGGUUCAUCGGGAUUGCAGGGCGGUACUUGAGAAAGCAGCAGGAAGAGACCCAGCUCAUCUACAAAGCCCUUCAGGACCUGACUGAUGACAUCAGCCCUGCCAUCUCAAGCUUGGCACUUCAAACCGUUCAACUCUUAGCUGCACAGAGAGCUCCAUACUCUCCAGGUUUCAGAAGGUGCAAGACCACUUCCAGAAGGGUGGGGGGUAGGAAGCCUCCUUUGUGGGGCAGCUUGUGCUGUGAACAACUAAUUCCAGGAGCUAAAUCUGCUCAGGCCACCUGAGCUUGCAGGGAAGACCUCAUCUGGGCAUGGAAAUAUGAAAUCGCUGCUGUCA